UGUGGGAAAAAGUUUUCGGCUGGGGGAUGGGCCCGCGGCCUAUCAGCUUGUUGGUGGGGUGAUGGCCUACCAAGGCGGUGACGGGUAGCCGGCCUGAGAGGGCGACCGGCCACACUGGGACUGAGACACGGCCCAGACUCCUACGGGAGGCAGCAGUGGGGAAUAUUGCGCAAUGGGCGGAAGCCUGACGCAGCGACGCCGCGUGGGGGAUGACGGCCUUCGGGUUGUAAACCUCUUUCGCCAGGGACGAAGAGCAAUUGACGGUACCUGGAGAAGAAGCACCGGCCAACUACGUGCCAGCAGCCGCGGUAACACGUAGGGUGCGAGCGUUGUCCGGAAUUAUUGGGCGUAAAGAGCUCGUAGGCGGUGUGUCGCGUCGAUCGUGAAAACUUGGGGCUUAACUCUGAGCGUGCGGUCGAUACGGGCAUCACUUGAGUUCGGCAGGGGAGACUGGAAUUCCUGGUGUAGCGGUGAAAUGCGCAGAUAUCAGGAGGAACACCGGUGGCGAAGGCGGGUCUCUGGGCCGAUACUGACGCUGAGGAGCGAAAGCGUGGGGAGCGAACAGGAUUAGAUACCCUGGUAGUCCACGCCGUAAACGUGCGCAAAGCCA
rnacentral:rRNA from 1 species